rnacentral:rRNA from 1 species
AAGCCUAGCUUGCUAGGUGGAUUAGUGGCGAACGGGUGAGUAAUACGUGAGUAACCUACCUUUAACUCUGGGAUAAGCCUGGGAAACUGGGUCUAAUACCGGAUACGACCAAUCUCCGCAUGGGGUGUUGGUGGAAAGCGUUAUGUAGUGGUUAUAGAUGGGCUCACGGCCUAUCAGCUUGUUGGUGAGGUAACGGCUCACCAAGGCGACGACGGGUAGCCGGCCUGAGAGGGUGACCGGCCACACUGGGACUGAGACACGGCCCAGACUCCUACGGGAGGCAGCAGUGGGGAAUAUUGCACAAUGGGCGCAAGCCUGAUGCAGCGACGCCGCGUGAGGGAUGACGGCCUUCGGGUUGUAAACCUCUGUUAGCAGGGAAGAAGAGAAAUUGACGGUACCUGCAGAGAAAGCGCCGGCUAACUACGUGCCAGCAGCCGCGGUAAUACGUAGGGCGCGAGCGUUGUCCGGAAUUAUUGGGCGUAAAGAGCUUGUAGGCGGUUUGUCGCGUCUGCUGUGAAAGGCCGGGGCUUAACCCCGUGUAUUGCAGUGGGUACGGGCAGACUAGAGUGCAGUAGGGGAGACUGGAACUCCUGGUGUAGCGGUGGAAUGCGCAGAUAUCAGGAAGAACACCGAUGGCGAAGGCAGGUCUCUGGGCUGUAACUGACGCUGAGAAGCGAAAGCAUGGGGAGCGAACAGGAUUAGAUACCCUGGUAGUCCAUGCCGUAAACGUUGGGCACUAGGUGUGGGGGACAUUCCACGUUUUCCGCGCCGUAGCUAACGCAUUAAGUGCCCCGCCUGGGGAGUACGGCCGCAAGGCUAAAACUCAAAGGAAUUG